rnacentral:rRNA from 1 species
CAGUAGCCGCGGUAAUACGGAGGGUGCAAGCGUUAAUCGGAAUUACUGGGCGUAAAGCGCACGCAGGCGGUCUGACAAGUCAGAUGUGAAAUCCCCGGGCUUAACCUGGGAACUGCAUUUGUGACUGUAUAGCUAGAGUACGGCAGAGGGGGAUGGAAUUCCGCGUGUAGCAGUGAAAUGCGUAGAUAUGCGGAGGAACACCGAUGGCGAAGGCAAUCCCCUGGGCCUGUACUGACGCUCAUGCACGAAAGCGUGGGGAGCAAACAGGAUUAGAGACCCCAGUAGUCCCUGUCUCUUAUAC